rnacentral:rRNA from 1 species
UACGAAGGGGGCUAGCGUUGUUCGGAAUUACUGGGCGUAAAGCGCACGUAGGCGGACUAUUAAGUCAGGGGUGAAAUCCCGGGGCUCAACCCCGGAACUGCCUUUGAUACUGGUAGUCUCGAGUCCGGAAGAGGUGAGUGGAAUUCCGAGUGUAGAGGUGAAAUUCGUAGAUAUCAGGAGGAACACCAAUGGCGAAGGCAGCUCGCUGGGACGGUACUGACGCUGAGAUACGAAAGCGUGGGGAGCAAACAGG